rfam:Glycine soja cultivar W05 scaffold2994_34, whole genome shotgun sequence.
GGGCUAUGAUGAGAUCUAGAGAAUGUCAUGCACCACUCUGAUAAUUUAGUGCUGAUAAUUUUCUCAUACCCAUAUUCAAUCUGAGCUC